GGGGGAAAAAGCAGGCUGUGGAUUCCCACUUAGGUAAUGUAAAUUACUUGCAAUUUAAUUUAAUUGUUCAGUCAAAUGUAAUUUCUAGCAACGCUGAA